AGCAGUCGCCACGGUAAUACGUAGGUGGCAAGCGUUGUCCGGAAUCAUUGGGCGUAAAGCGCGCGCAGGCGGAUAGGUCGGUCUGUCUUAAAAGUUCGGGGCUUAACCCCGUGAUGAGAUGGAAACUGCUGAUCUAGAGUAUCGGAGAGGAAAGUGGAAUUCCUAGUGUAGCGGUGAAAUGCGUAGAUAUUAGGAAGAACACCAGUGGCGAAGGCGACUUUCUGGACAAAAACUGACGCUGAGGCGCGAAAGCCAGGGGAGCGAACGGGAUUAGAUACCCCUGUAGUCCCUGUCUCUUAUACA
rnacentral:rRNA from 1 species